GAACGCGAAAGGGGGCAACCCCGAGUAGAGUGGCGAACGGGUGAGCAAUACAUCGGAACGUGUCCUGUAGCGGGGGACAACCUCGAGAAAUCGAGGCUAAUACCGCAUACGAUCUACGGAUGAAAGUGGGGGACCGCAAGGCCCCACACUAUAGGAGCGGCCGAUGCCGGAUUAGCUAGUUGGUGGGGUAACGGCCUACCAAGGCGACGAUCCGUAGCUGGUUUGAGAGAACGACCAGCCACACUGGGACUGAGACACGGCCCAGACUCCUACGGGAGGCAGCAGUGGGGAAUAUUGGACAAUGGGCGCAAGCCUGAUCCAGCAAUGCCGCGUGAGUGAUGAAGGCCUUAGGGUUGUAAAGCUCUUUCGGCGGGGACGAUGAUGACGGUACCCGCAGAAGAAGCCCCGGCUAACUUCGUG
rnacentral:rRNA from 1 species